GAGCACAGCCCUGAGACAAGGGCCCAGGCGCCCAGCGGGGCUGGUUUCACUCAGUCCAGCCGCACCUACCCGUGCCCUCACCAGAUCUUAAGAUACAGACAUUAAAACCUCCACCGGGCCGCGGCACAGGACAGCAGUUUUACUUUCUGUUUUUGGCAUUGCAUUGCCUCCAUUUCCUAGAGUGCACGUAAUAAAUACCGCUGGUGAUUCCAAAAUAUAAAGGUUGAAAAUAUUUACUUUACAAAAAUUUGGUUCCCAUACUGCUUUUAAGGCCAUCCUCUGCACUUGGUUCCCGCUGCUCCUGAUGUGGUUGAAAGAUGGAUGACCCCAAAGACGAGGAAAAGAUUAUUGGCUCCAUUUUUUAGAUGCGGCAGCCAGCUAAGGUCUAGACAGGGGAAGGGACUUGCCCCAAAUCACAGUUAGAGCAAAUCAGUCUGAAUCAGGAAUAACUCCAUUCCUAUCCCGCAUCCUGCCCUUUCACUACGCCACAGCUGCCUGGCUGCCUGGAGGAACAAAGGAGGGCCGGGCAAGAACGCCAUUACCAACUGCAAAUCCACAGGCAAAUGCAAGAGGACAGAAAUCUUGUUAACUGAGUGCCAAUUACGCUCCAGGCGCUGCGAAUACGAGUGGGUCUCCACCACCAGAAUGGCUAAAGUGAAAAAGACCGCACCGUGUGGAGGCGAGAAAGUAGAGCGACUGGACCUCUCUUGUAUUUCUGGGGGAGUGUAAAUUGGUAGAGACAUUUUGGAAAACUGGCAGUUUUCUAAUGAAGCCGAACAUAUGCCACCUCUGUGAUCCAGCAGUUCCACUCCUAGGCUGUCAACACCCAGCAGAAAUGUGUAGGUGUGAGCAUCAAGAGGGUGCAUGGGAAUGUUCAGAGCCCUUUCAUAACAGCCCCAAACUGGAAAUAACCCAUCAACAGAAUGGAAAAUGAAUGAUGCCCUACUCACUACCAUGCACAUAGACACAGCAACGGGAUUGACAUGCCCGGCUACACACAGCAACAUAGACAAGUCGCAUGAUGAAAUCUUGAGUGACAGAAGCCAAAUGCAACAGUACAUACUAGAUGGUUCCAGGUGUAUUACGUUCAGAACCAGACAAAACUAAUUUAUAGUGCACCAAAGUCAAGAUAGUGAUCGCCCUUAGGGUUGGGAGGGGACGAGGGGAGAGCUUCUGGGAGCUGAUCCAGUUCUGUUGUGUAAUCUGGUGCUGGUUCCCUGGGCAUAUGUAUUCUGUGAAAAUCCAUCACAUGACUUAAAUAAAAUGUACAUUACUUAAAUAAAA
rnacentral:lncRNA from 1 species